UACUCUGGUGCUUUGUUUGUAGGACUGUGUCCGGGUGCAUUCAGCCUCAAGUCAUUCGGGAUUGUUGCUGUGUCGGACUCAUGUGAACUCCGCCCUGGCUGUGACCAGACCGUCUCUCAGCAAAGGGGACUGGAACAGAUAUACAAAAUUGUAUGAAGCCUUUGGCAGUGGAGCGGCUGGAAAAUCUGUACAAACGGUUACGUUUAAACCUGGAGAGCGUGUUACUUUAGCUUGAUCGGACAUUCUAGCUGCACAGAUGUUAUUAAUUUUGAUGUCAAUUGAUAAAUGCUGUAAUGCACUAAUACAGACUGUAACAGUUGCAGAGCUUAAAAGACAAUGUGAAAUUGACUGACUUGAUUCUGAGUGAGACAAAAAUCUACUCAAAAAUGUAAGUAAUGUACAAAUGUAUAAUGCCAGAGGACAAAUAAAGUAAUUAUUUAAAAUUAAA